UACGUAGGGGGCAAGCGUUGUCCGGAUUUAUUGGGCGUAAAGAGCGUGUAGGCGGUUUGGUAGGUCCGUUGUGAAAACUCGAGGCUCAACCUCGAGACGCCGAUGGAAACCAUCAGACUAGAGUCCGGAAGAGGAGAGUGGAAUUCCUGGUGUAGCGGUGAAAUGCGCAGAUAUCAGGAGGAACACCAAUGGCGAAGGCAGCUCGCUGGGACGGUACUGACGCUGAGGCGCGAAAGCGUGGGGAGCAAACAGG
rnacentral:rRNA from 1 species